UUACGAUGCCAGUGCCAACUGUUACAGUGGUAGAUGUCGCUGUGACCCGGGAUUCUUCCGAAACACAAUCUGUGUCAGCAUCAACCAACUUCGUCCUACCACUGUGACGGCCGUCGUACAAAGCACGACCACCAUGACAGCAACAUGGACAGCUCCUUCUAACGCCGUCGUCACCGGGUACAAGGUCGCGGUUACACCAGGGGCAUUACUCCAAUCCUUGUCGGCAGAGACAUCAGGACGCCCAUCACAGGUCUGAUGCCGGGGACAGUAUACACUGUGAACGUGAAGACAAAGAUUACCUAUCUGCAAGGACGAGAUGAGAUGACUGAUGCUGUAUCUGCAGCACCAAAGCGAACAACGCCGGCUUCUGUCACGGGCCUAGACAUGACCAAAACCAACUUGACCGCUCCAGACAUCACCGUUGUGUUCGCCAAGGCUGUUGGGGAUGCCACCAUGUACAUUGUGACACUCAGAGGACGGUAUCGAGAUACAUACAACCAACAACAUCAACCUGUCAACACUGGACAGGGUCUCAUCUCUGUCGUCUUCACUGUUGUUGUCCCAGCUGCAUCGUACAACCUGACCAUACUAACACAGGUGGGAACCUCCAGAGUUUACCCUAUACCACCGUGAUACGAGUACAGUCAACUCCUGCCGGAAGAGUUACCAAUCUGAAGUCGUUUGACAACACGUCCCGCUCUGUGGCUGUGGAAUGGAGCAGACCACUCAACCCGAACGGGCAGAUCUAUGAAUACAUUGUCGACGUAAGGACGGGUAGUCCUUCAGUCUGUGUGAAACGGGUCACCAUCAACUGCACUGAAUGUAACAGAUAUAUGCUAAUCUUUAUAAAGAUGUAGACCAAAUGUGACACAACCAUGACUGUGGUGAUAGCCCAGGCUGACAUUGAAAACGCCGCACACGUCAUACAGCACAACAUUACAGGCCUGAACCCAGAUACAACCUACGCCAUAGACGUUGUAGCUGUUAAUGAAGAAGAGGCCAGGAACAACCGACCACAUUAAUCUACAGACACCCGAGGAAGGCGCUAGUUACACUACGAACUUCAAGGCACAGAGCAGGUCAUCAAGCGAGAUAACUCUGACAUGGCAUUCUCCGCAACCCCGACCUGGGUGUCACUCAUUACAACAUAACUGUGUAUGAAAAACAGGAAGACAGCGAGGGUUACGACACUCUGAAGCUCAUAGCACUUUCAGGGUGGGGAAUCCAGACGUACACCAUUGGCAAUCUCUCCAGCUAUUGGUUUUACAAGUUUGAUAUAGUAGCUGGAA